GAACUACUUUAGCAAUAAAUUUUACUUAUAGAGGAAAAAAUUAAAAAUGUUAAAUGAAGCAGACAAUUUGGCAGACAUCUUUCGUGGUGGACUGCCUUAUUGCCUUAUUAUAACGUUACCCAUAUUAAUAAUGUGCUCACCAUGUCUUGCUAGUGAAUUUCAAGUAGCGUCAAUGGCAAAAUUUGAUGUUAAUGGAGAACAAUUUGGCUCGCGGUCAUCUGCAAUAUCAUUAGAAGCUAAGUCCUUAUAUACUUGGAGCACAGGCCGGCAUUGUGUUCUAGCUAGGAUGAUGGUCAAUCUAAAAUCUCCAUUUGAU